AGCAGAGGUCCAGCUGGGUCUGAGGGUGACCUUCCACAGAGGCACUCACUGCUCUACCUGAACCUCUGACACCACAUCAUCUCUAUUAAACUAACCACAGAAUGCAGACCACACGGAGCAAGAUGCUUCAACCCAUGAUCCCCAGCAUGGGGCAGUGCAUUGUUCAGGACAAAGAUCUUUCCAACCCAGUGUUGUCUCCCUAACAGUGACAAAAAUAGAUGCCCAGGGAAAACAGAAAGUAUGGGAAAAAAACUGAUACACCCCCAAUACUCUCCCAGUCAUCUGGGAUUGAUGUCUUGCAUGUUUCUUGAGCCAGAGCAGUGCCUGUAUUUGAGAGUGUAUGGGAACUGCUAAAUCAUGGCCUGAAGCAAUGAUUGAGCACCUGAUGAAGGGACACAGCCAGCCCUGGGAGCACAGGUGAAAGCAAUUCACCUGUGUGGACAGGUUCCACCCCUCCCUAAGCCUCAUUUAAGGGCUGGCUGCUGCAAGGGAUGGCUCUCCUCUUUGAGAUGCCUGUUUUUGGAGUAUUUAGUGAGCCCUGAUCUUUGGGAUAGUCUUGUUUCUCUAGGGCACCUCCUCUGUUUUCCUUACUGCAGUACGGCAAAGGUUAUCUGGAUUACUGCUUGUGUCAGUGAUAUCACCACAUCAGUGUGUGGGUCCUGCCCCUCUUGAAUUACCCUGAACCCUGUGGUGUUCUGGAGGUGGAGUGGGUGCCCCUUACUGAGCAUCCUGUGAUGCUCCCAGAAAACUGCCUGCAUUGGGUAGGACAGCCAUGGCCCUUCCAUCAUCUCCAGAUGACAUUCCCUUCACAUCUGCCUCCUCACCAAGAGAUGUCAAGGCCAGUGUGGUUCAGUAGUGCCUGCAGGAGCUUGUCUCAAGCAGGGAAAAAGCAAGUCUGGAUAGCCUCGUGCAGGGUACCAAGGGGCAGCACGUAUGGUUGGGGUUUGGACUAUGCCAAGAACAAGGGAUCUGCUAUGCAGGUGUGAUGUGUUUCUUUCCCAGCCAUGUGGAUUUGCAGCUUUGCUAAAGGGGAAAUCUGUGGUUGCUGCAGUGCUGAGUAAUUCCUAAAUCCCUUGAUGGAAGCUGCCCUGUAUUCAUGUGGCUACAGGAGAGCUGGUUUGUAUUUUAAGGAAUCAUUGUGGGUGAUGCAGCCACAUCCUCUUUUAAGUCAUGCAGGAAGUCAGCAAUUACUCUCAUGGAUUUCAACCUGAAGUGUGACAGUGCUUUGUGCAAAUGGGGUUUUGCUGGUGUCACACCCAGGCUACCACCAUCCAACCUGCUCCCCAGACCAUAGAAUCAAACAUAGAAUCAUGAAAUAUCCCGAGCUGGAAGGGAUCCAUAAGGAUCACUGAGUCCAAUUCUUGACUGAUCUCCUUCCUCAGCCAUGCUCAUUCCUGGUUAAUACUAGCUGGACUAAAUGCAAGCUGGUUUAAUUUGUAUCAAUCUGCCUCUGCCUCUAAAGUGGGGUCAAAAGCAGUACCAACAGAAACUGCGUGAUAAAACCCAGCCACCCUGACCACAGUUAGUUUUAUUUAAUUAGUUUGUAGGAGUGCUAUUUGUCAGUGUUAAUCUACCAUUGUCAUUGGAAGACAUUCGUGCAAACUCCUGUCAGUAGCUGGCCACAUGUGAAUAAAUGCCAUUGUGGAUGUUGAGUCAUUCAGGAAGGUAAAUAAAUUGGUUUCCUGGGCUCUGAAUGCCAAGGCUUUUAUAGCAGGAUGAAGAGAAUUGCACGACAUGGUUCCAUACAGCUUAUAAAAUGUAUAUGAAAGCUAUUUUGUCCUACCCAUCCUAGUUAUGAUGUAUAAAUAGAUACACCAUUUUUUUUCCCAAGCAUAGAGUUAGUUGGAAUUAUU